AAACCAUGGUGGGGACGCCUCAAAAUGAAGUACUUAAAUCUUUCCCAAUACUCAUAAACUUUUUCAUUAUCUUCUUGACAAAAAUCAGCAAUCUCUCUUUUCAAAGCAU